GACGAACGCUGGCGGCGUGCCUAAUACAUGCAAGUCGAACGCACAGUUUAUACCGUAGCUUGCUACACCAUAGACUGUGAGUUGCGAACGGGUGAGUAACGCGUAGGUAACCUGCCUGGUAGCGGGGGAUAACUAUUGGAAACGAUAGCUAAUACCGCAUAAUAUUGAUUAUUGCAUGAUAAUUGAUUGAAAGAUGCUAUUGCAUCACUACCAGAUGGACCUGCGUUGUAUUAGCUAGUAGGUGAGGUAACGGCUCACCUAGGCGACGAUACAUAGCCGACCUGAGAGGGUGAUCGGCCACACUGGGACUGAGACACGGCCCAGACUCCUACGGGAGGCAGCAGGAGGGAAUCUUCGGCAAUGGACGAAAGUCUGACCGAGCAACGCCGCGUGAGUGAAGAAGGUUUUCGGAUCGUAAAGCUCUGUUGUAAGAGAAGAACGGGUGUGAGAGUGGAAAGUUCACACUGUGACGGUAUCUUACCAGAAAGGGACGGCUAACUACGUG
rnacentral:rRNA from 1 species